rnacentral:rRNA from 1 species
UAGGGAAUCUUCCGCAAUGGGCGAAAGCCUGACGGAGCAACGCCGCGUGAGUGAUGAAGGUCUUCGGAUCGUAAAACUCUGUUAUUAGGGAAGAACAAAUGUGUAAGUAACUAUGCACGUCUUGACGGUACCUAAUCAGAAAGCCACGGCUAACUACGUGCCAGCAGCCGCGGUAAUACGUAGGUGGCAAGCGUUAUCCGGAAUUAUUGGGCGUAAAGCGCGCGUAGGCGGUUUUUUAAGUCUGAUGUGAAAGCCCACGGCUCAACCGUGGAGGGUCAUUGGAAACUGGCAAACUUGAGUGCAGAAGAGGAAAGUGGAAUUCCAUGUGUAGCGGUGAAAUGCGAAGAGAUAUGGGGGAACACCAGUGGCGAAGGCGACUUUCUGGUCUGUAACUGACGCUGAUGUGCGAAAGCGUGGGGAUCAAACAGG